rnacentral:rRNA from 1 species
CACGUGGGGCGCGAGCGUUGUCCGGAAUUAUUGGGCGUAAAGAGCUCGUAGGCGGUCUGUCGCGUCGAUCGUGAAAACUUGGGGCUUAACCCUGAGCUUGCGGUCGAUACGGGCAUGACUGGAGUUCGGCAGGGGAGACUGGAAUUCCUGGUGUAGCGGUGAAAUGCGCAGAUAUCAGGAGGAACACCGGUGGCGAAGGCGGGUCUCUGGGCCGAUACUGACGCUGAGGAGCGAAAGCGUGGGGAGCGAACAGG